rnacentral:lncRNA from 1 species
UCGCCUGGCUGCCUCCCAGCCCAGGCCGGAUUAAACAGCGGUAACCAGAUCCUGCUGGGGACGAGGGGAAACCGAGGCGGACGGCGUGAGUGAUGAGAGACGAGCUCGCACAUGGCGAGGAACGGUUCCCCUGUCUCCCCACAUCUGGAGGGGCCGCCCUCUCAAGCCUCAAGCUUUAGCACGUUGUUCCCCCAUGGGUGCCUGGAGCAACCACAUCCAGACUGGACAAUGCUAGGGAGACAACACCUCCUCCAGGAAGACUUCCUCGCUCUUCACACGUCUUCCCGUAGCUGGAGUGGGUGCUCUGCCAGCCUGCUCUGCCUCCCCUGAUCAUCACUUUCACUAACCCUGCCACCCGUGCAAACGAUUCCAACCAGCCGCUGGAGGAUGAGGGACCACGUGGACCAGAGCUGAGCAGUCCCAGACAAGGCUCCAGAGAAGUGAGCCAGCCCAGCCAAGAUCCGCAGAGCCUCCUGUGUCACCCACUGCUGACCACAGAUGCACGAGCGAGUCCAGCCGAGUCCAGAGAACUGACCUAUCAGCUUG